UACGUAGGGUGCAAGCGUUAAUCGGAAUUACUGGGCGUAAAGCGUGCGCAGGCGGUUCGCUAAGACAGAUGUGAAAUCCCCGGGCUUAACCUGGGAACUGCAUUUGUGACUGGCGGGCUAGAGUAUGGCAGAGGGGGUAGAAUUCCGACGUGUAGCAGUGAAAUGCGUAGAGAUGUGGAGGAAUACCGAUGGCGAAGGCAGCCCCUGGGCCAUACUGACGCUCAUGCACGAAAGCGUGGGAGCAACAGG
rnacentral:rRNA from 1 species